rnacentral:sRNA from 1 species
CUUUAACAAUCCGGAACAAGCUGAAAAUUGAAACGACGCAGCGCGUCAUUCCUCCGUAAUAAGGAAUGGCUCAGCGAUGCGUUCGAGUCUCUCAAAUGCUUGCAACACGCAGCGUUGUAAAACGCCUGUGG